UACGGGGGGGGCAAGCGUUGUUCGGAAUUACUGGGCGUAAAGGGCCAGUAGGCGGCCAACUAAGUCGGAUGUGAAAUCCCCAGGCUCAACUUGGGAACUGCAUCCGAUACUGGAUGGCUUGAAUUCGGGAGAGGGAUGCAGAAUUCCAGGUGUAGCGGUGAAAUGCGUAGAUAUCAGGAGGAACACCGGUGGCGAAGGCGGGUCUCUGGGCCGAUACUGACGCUGAGACGCGAAAGCGUGGGGGAGCGAACAGG
rnacentral:rRNA from 1 species